UCGGGGCACGCGGGAAGUGGGCGUGUGCAACUGCGCAGACCCGGUCGGAAGUCAGGACAGACUCCGGCUGUGUGGUUUAGAGACGGUUCACGUUGUGGCCGAGAGGCCAGACGAUUCGAUUUUCCUUGUCGGUGACCUUCAGUGCCAGUGGAGGCAUGCCGGGACCCAGUAGGCCUCGGCUGUUGCGCGACUCGCGCGACAGACAGCCGUGUUGGAUCCUGCAUAGCAUGUCGCCUUCCUCCGAGGAUGCCUGAGCUCCUGCGGUGGAGGACGGUCGGGGGAGGCCGGGUCUGGCGGCUCGGUGUGGCACUCGGCGCCGCGCGUUCCGGGAAGGUCUCCCCGUGCUCUGUGGAACUAGAGAUAGGAGAGAUGAAGAAACCGAGCCAAGUCUGGCUGCUCCAGAUCCUCAGGACUAAGAAUCCUGCCUGUUGGGCUGAAGCAAAGGCUGUGUGAAGGGGACGGGGAUCUCAUGAAUCUCAGGAUGGCUGCAAAACUAGCUAUGUAGCUGAAAAUGACCUUAAACUUCUGAGGUCUCCUGCCUCUAUCUCCCAAGUGUUAGGAUUACAGGUGUGUGCUAGCUACCACACCCAGUUUAUGUGAUGCUGGGGUUAAACAUAUGGGCUCUGUAUGCGAUUGGCAAGUACUCUACCAAGUGAAGCUCAUUCCCACCCCCAACAGGUUUCUUUUCUUUUUUUUUUUUUUUUUAAAAAGGGG
rnacentral:lncRNA from 1 species